GCAGCCUAGUCUCUGCAGCCUAACCCUGUCCUCCCAGCCGCCCCCUGCUUGUGGCCCUUUGGAAAAGCCCACGGGCCCUUUUCACAGCGAGCUGACAUCACAGAUUGCAGGCAGGUACACGAGGAGGAAGACCCACAAACACGGGAAAGAUUCUUUUUUUUAACCAUCAUCAAAUUACAGAACGUAUCUUGUGAGGAUUCAGCGAGGUUUAUAGAGCAAAAGUAUCCAAUCCGAGGGGAGAAGAGAAACGGUAGAACUGCAAGGUUGUGACGCGGGCUGCGCCGGGCUGAGACGUCUCGGCCGCCCCUUAACAGCCCCGCAGGAGGGGGUUAGCUCAGAGCCGUCUACAGGAGACAGUGCAACCCACGGCUAUGAUAGAUUGUCUAGCAGCCGCAUUUUAAAAAGUAAAAAGGAGCAGGUAAAAUCCACCUUAAUGGCAUGUUUUUAGCCCACUAUUAUAACUUCAACUUGGAAUCAAUAUAAAAAUUAUUGAGACCAUUUACCAUCUUUUUUUCACUAAGUUCUAAGUCAUUUUUCUGCAGUCAUACACAACGAGACCAGAUAUGUUCAGGUUCCACGGGCUUAACGGCCACGGUCAUCUUUUUUUCACAGAGACUCUGAAAUCUGGUAUGGUCUGAGCCGGCUGGUCCCGGUUCAGACCAGCCGCGUGUGGAUAGCGGCUGUCAUACCAGACAGCCUUGGUCUAACGAGCCUUAUUUUAUUUCUCCUCUCCGCGGGCGAGAGCCAGCACCACUUGCAUCGAACAGGGAGGGGACUGAGGCUCAGAGCUGAUAGUGGCGGUCAUGGGAUCAGCAGCAACAGUGGUUUGCUCACUGAACAGGGUUCUGUUUGAGCCCUGAUUUUGCCACUUCCGAUUUCCGUGACCUCUGGCAGGCUGUUUCAAGUCUCCUAGGCGGUUUCCCUACAACUGAAGUAAAAGAGAAAAAAUAACUCCUACUCAUAGAGUGCAAGGAUUAGAGAGCGUGUUUGCAAAGGACUCUCAGGUGGCUGGCACAUACAAAAGGGUUAAUAAAUGCUGGCGAUUCUGAUAGCAAUGGACCAGGCAGAACCUCUCCACUGGAGGGAGAUCCCUCAGUUGGUUCCCGGAGAACAUUCCAGAAGAGCUGUCUCAGCCUCAGAACCUCUAAGGAGGCCCUGGGUGGAGUCUGUGGCAUUCGGUGGCGCGGUCCUCGCCUCGAAGGGAUCCCGGCUCUCUGGGAGCUCCGCUGCACCUCACUCCAGGGUACCGGCUUUGCCAGCUCCCUCUCAGGGGGAUCCAGAUCUCGCUGCGUGGCGCCCAGGAAUCCACACACACUGAACAGGACUCCCUAGACAUUGCCAGAAGAAACAAGAUCAUCUCUAGACACGAUGGACCACAGCUGUAAUUCUGCCACCGACUUUCUGCUUGACCUUGGAUAAGACACUGGGUUUCUUGUCCUGAAUUUCUUCAUCUGCAACAUGAAGAGUUUGAACUCAAAGAUAUUAUAUCUUAGGCCCCAUUUGGUAAAUAAAAUCCUCUG
ensembl:lncRNA